rnacentral:hammerhead_ribozyme from 1 species
GCAUUGCUGAGGGGUCCCACAAUAGGACAAAAUGGCCAUCCAAUGC